UACAGAGGGUGCGAGCGUUGUCCGGAAUCACUGGGCGUAAAGGGCGCGUAGGUGGCACGACAAGUCAGUGGUGAAAGCUCGACGCUCAACGUCGAGUCGGCCACUGAUACUGUUGGGCUGGAGCACUGUAGAGGCAGAUGGAAUUCCGGGUGUAGCGGUGGAAUGCGUAGAGAUCCGGAAGAACACCGGUGGCGAAGGCGGUCUGCUGGGCAGUUGCUGACACUGAGGAGCGAAAGCAUGGGGAGCGAACAGG
rnacentral:rRNA from 1 species